AUGGAUUUUAAACAACAUAUUAAUUAUAAUAAAAUUCUACAUUUAAGUAGAUAAGUAGAAUUAUUUUAAAUCAACGAAUUCAGCUAUAUUGAAGAAUUUGAAUUUAGAUUACUAUCUGGGACUAGUAGGACUGAAGGCUUCUUUGGAUAAAUUAGGUCAAUGAUAGUUUGCAGACAGAACAAUACUGGGUGCCUAAUACAGUAGUACCUUCACGUUGCUGAUAAAUAUUAUACAGGGCCUAAGUGGCGUAUUCAAACUGUAUUCAACAGAAUAACAUUAUGGAUAUUCAUGGGCUGGACCCUUGUUCGUACGGGUUCCUCAUAUUUGAGUCAUAUAUAUCAAAAGCAGGACGGAAAAUGAUUCAAUCUAAUAAUUAGAGGAAUUAUGUACUUACCUAUCAUAUUGUGUGCAUCGAUAAUAAUUAGUGUGCGCGGUUCCAGGUUUGAUUCUAAAGUAGUCACAAGGACUCUGGAGUAAGUCGGCCUGUAAUUACUGACCUCCCACCCACCCACCAAAAGUUGUCUAGUUAACCAAGAACCAUCCUCAAUAUCUUUUGUGAAAUACCACCAGUCUCCCAAAAAAAUACUAUGUCGUUGAGAAGAAUAGACAAACAAUGUUGGACAUGAAUGUAACUUGUGUUAUUUAUAAUUCUGGAUGACAAGUGGAAAAUAAUUACAACACAAAAUCUGUAAGCAAAACCCUUCAAACGUGUUACCAAAUUAAAUCAUGCAUAAUAUCUUAAUUAUAAAGGUACUUGUCAAUCGCAGAUACUAUAGAAUUUUCUAGCAGAAAACUACUUUUAUAUUUUAGCAUAAUAUAUAAAAUCGUCAUUCAAAGCCAGUAUUCAACUUACAAGUAUACACUAUACAGCACCAAAUGUAUAUUGAUGUUUUUUUCAUCGAUAAUAAUAAGUAAAAGUUUUGAACAGUGUAAAAUCCAUUUAUAUUCUAACAAUAUUUAGUUAUCUUAAAUCAAAUUUGACUAAGAAGAAGGUGCUCCACAACUUAACAUAAUUAUUGAUAACUAUGAUUUAGAAGUUGGAUACAAAAGCUACUUCCUGAUAUCUACUGAAAAUCAGCCAUUACAGUUUAUGCCAAUUUAAUAAAAAAAAAAGUUUACUUUAGUUAA